UACGGGAGGCAGCAGUGGGGAAUAUUGGACAAUGGGCGCAAGCCUGAUCCAGCCAUGCCGCGUGAGUGAUGAAGGCCUUAGGGUUGUAAAGCUCUUUUAUCCGGGACGAUAAUGACGGUACCGGAGGAAUAAGCCCCGGCUAACUUCGUGCCAGCAGCCGCGGUAAUACGAAGGGGCUAGCGUUGCUCGGAAUCACUGGGCGUAAAGGGCGCGUAGGCGGCGUUUUUAAGUCGGGGUGAAAGCCUGUGGCUCAACCACAGAAUGGCCUUCGAUACUGGGACGCUUGAGUAUGGUAGAGGUUGGUGGAACUGCGAGUGUAGAGGUGAAAUUCGUAGAUAUUCGCAAGACACCGGUGCGAAGGCGGCAACUGGACCAUUACUGACGCUGAGGCGCGAAAGCGUGGGGAGCAAACAGGGAUUAGAUACC
rnacentral:rRNA from 1 species